rnacentral:rRNA from 1 species
AUACGUAGGGGGCGAGCGUUGUCCAGAAUUACUGGGCGUAAAGGGUGCGUAGGCGGCCAAAUAAGUCAGAUGUGAAAGUCCAAGGCUCAACCAUGGAAUAGCAUUUGAAACUGUAUGGCUUGAGUGCAGGAGAGGAGAGCGGAAUUCCUAGUGUAGCGGUGAAAUGCGUAGAGAUUAGGAAGAACACCAGUGGCGAAGGCGGCUCUCUGGACUGUAACUGACGCUGAGGCACGAAAGCGUGGGUAGCGAACAGGAUUAGAUACCCUGGUAGUCCACGCCGUAAACGAUGAGUGCUAGGUGUCGGGAGGAAUCUCGGUGCCGGAGUUAACACAAUAAGCACUCCGCCUGGGGAGUACGACCGCAAGGUUAAA